UCGGGAAUCUUGCACAAUGGGCGAAAGCCUGAUGCAGCAACGCCGUGUGAGCGAGGAAGGCCUUCGGGUCGUAAAGCUCUGUUGUUGGGGACGAAGGGCGAAGGGUUAAUAGCCCCUAGCCUGACGGUACCCUUCGAGGAAGCCCCGGCUAACUACGUGCCAGCAGCCGCGGUAAUACGUAGGGGGCGAGCGUUGUCCGGAAUUAUUGGGCGUAAAGAGCGUGUAGGCGGCCUGGUAAGUCUGCUGUGACACCUUGGGGCUCAUCGCCAAGCGUGCAGUGGAUACUGCUAGGCUAGAGGAUGGUAGAGGCGCGUGGAAUGCCCGGUGUAGCGGUGAAAUGCGCAGAUAUCGGGAGGAACACCAGUAGCGAAGGCGGCUCGCUGGGCCAUUCCUGACGCUGAGACGCGAACGCGUGGGGAGCAAAAAGGAUUAGAUACCCCCGUAGUCC
rnacentral:rRNA from 1 species